CUACGUGCCAGCAGCCGCGGUAAUACGGAAGGUCCUAGCGUUAUCCGGAUUUAUUGGGUUUAAAGGGAGCGUAGGCCGUUUUAUAAGCGUGUUGUGAAAUGUACGGGCUCAACCUGUGAUUUGCAGCGCGAACUGUAUGACUUGAGUACGUUGGAAGUAGGCGGAAUUCGUGGUGUAGCGGUGAAAUGCUUAGAUAUCACGAAGAACUCCGAUUGCGAAGGCAGCCUACUGUGUCGUAACUGACGCUGAAGCUCGAAAGUGCGGGUAUCGAACAGGAUUAGAUACCCUGGUAGUCCGCACGGUAAACGAUGGAUGCUCGCUGUCCGGUCUUUUGGCUGGGUGGCCCAGCGAAAGCGUUAAGCAUCCCACCUGGGGAGUACGCCGGCAACGGUGAAACUCAAAGGAAUUGACGGGGGCCCGCACAGGCGGAGGAACAUGUGGUUUAAUUCGAUGAUACGCGAGGAACCUUACCCGGGCUUGAAUUGCAGAGGAAGGAUUUAGAGAUA
rnacentral:rRNA from 1 species